rnacentral:rRNA from 1 species
AUUGAACGCUGGCGGCAGGCCUAACACAUGCAAGUCGAACGAGUGGCGGACGGGUGAGUAAUGUCUGGGAAACUGCCUGACGGAGGGGGAUAACUACUGGAAACGGUAGCUAAUACCGCAUACCAUGAGAUGUGCCCAACUGGGAUUAGCUAGUUGGUGGGGUAACGGCUCACCACGGCGACGAUGCCUAGCUGGUCUGCGAGGAUGACCGGCCACACUGGGACUGAGACACGGCCCAGACUCCUACGGGAGGCAGCAGUGGGGAAUAUUGCACAAUGGGCGCAAGCCUGAUGCAGCCAUGCCGCGUGUAUGAAGAAGGCCUUCGGGUUGUAAAGUACUUUCGGCGGGGAGGCGUUACCCGCAGAAGAAGCAACGGCUAACUCCGUGCCAGCAGCCGCGGUAAUUC